CCUCUCGAUGACAGGGCUCUUCAUGGCAAAGGUCUUAUCUAGAUACAUUUUCUAACACCUUCAUGCACAAAGAACAUCCUGCUCUCUAAGACAGAGGAUGAAACUGAGUUGUAGGGAGGGGUUUAGAAAACUUUAUUAACCCCAACCCAGAGUCAGAAAAACAUUUUAUAUCACAACUCAGGACACAGAAUACAUACAAAGCAAUAUUUACCUAACUCUGCGUCGUGCAUGCUAAUAUUUUCUAUUCUAUUUUCUUUUUUUAGCUGCCAGUCAAAACUCACUAAUUUGAUUUUACGACACACUGAUGCAUGGGGACUGGCGGUCUGAAGGCACUGCUAAAGGAAUAAUUAUCCAUUACUAUUUGCAGGGAGUGUGGCAGUGGACCAAGUGCCCAAAAUUGUGUUAUCAACAUUAGAAGCAAAGCCCAGAUCCCCCAAAACCUACAAAUAAUGUAACCAUUUUCCAAGAAUGAAAUUAAUAAGAGUUAAUACAGAAUGGAUGAGAUUAGCUAAAUGUAGAAAUGAAUUCAAAAGCAGGUAAGGCCGCAGGGAUUUGAAUGCUCUGAAGUCCAAUCAGACUGUCCAGGACACGCAGUGUGACAGAAGUCUUCUGGACUCUAGUUCUAAUAUGAAAAUUCAAGACCCGACAGUUUUAUUUUUCCUUGUCUGAAGAAAUAUUACUGACAGCAGGAACUGACUGAAUUGGAGUUUUGUAAGUGGGAAGUCAAAAUACAAGGACUUUGCAGCGGGCCCUUCCAGGGCCCCUGAACACAAAUAUGCAGUCUGUUGGCAGCUCGGUGCCAAGAGGGAAGUGGAGCAUUAGACUCCUGGCUCAACGACAAACGUCCCCUUUCUCUUCCUUUGGAUCCACUAUGCAACUUGUGAUUUAAACACUGGUUUCCUAAAGCAGCAAAAACACACUACCCAGCUAAUGUGAAUUUCUCACCUGCUUGCCAGCUAUAUUUUUCACUGUAAAUUAAUAGUUCAGGAUCUUGAUUAACAUACAUAAGUCUUGUGGGUUUGGUUAUAUGAUCCUUUCUGCGCCGAAUGAAAUAUCAAGGUUGCACAAGGCAGAAAACCAGACCACGAAUAGGGCAGCCCUGCUGGGACGAUGACACUCGGGAGAGAGCCUGCCUGGGCAGCCAGCCAGCCCAGCUCAAAGAAAUCCCUCUCUCAACUCUCUCACUGCACCUAUAAGUCAUUCAGAGGUUAUAAAUGACACACCAAAUAAAAAUGUAUUGGCUUUGUAGAGAAAAGCAUUGACUUACCUUCCUUUGGCCAGCUGGAGUGAAGGAAUAUUAUUGAGACCCUGUCAAAUUUGCUUUCCCAUGCCAGGGCUGUGUGUCACCCAAACUUCCACAGUCUAAAGUUAAUAUUUUUAAGAGAAGAAAAAACAAUUUGUGUCAUAGGAUCUGAUGGCCGCAUCACACCUUAGUAUCUCAAGACAGACUGCCGGGGCUGAUUUUUCAUUACUCCUCUGCAUCAUUCACUCACUCACUCCACACACAUAUCAUGAGCGGCCAGGUUCUAGAGUCAGAGAAGAGAUUAGGGCUCUCCCUCAAGGAGCUCAAAGACCUGACCAAAGUCUCAAAGAGGAUAAAUAUUCAUAGGUCAUCGUGAGAAAUAGUUAUGUGCAGUAUACAGCUAUGGCAUCAAGUAGAAUCGACUCAACUUGAGAGGGGAAAGUGAGAGAUUUCACAGGGGAGCCCUUUCAGGUGGGUCAUGGGGGUACACUGCUCAAAUCUUUCAAGACAGAACUUGCUGCAAGGAAUGUAAUUAGCUGGCCACCAUCAGCUGCCGCUUUUGUGAGGUCUGUCCCAGCAUUCACAUGGAGCCACUCUCUUCCCAGGUUGCCCCCCGUCAAUGACUGGGCCCCACAGGGCUAGGGGAGCUGGCGGUUCCUGGCCAACACAAGAGUCCUCUACCCGGCGACCUUUGCUCUGAAACUCCCCAUCAGCCUGAUUCAGACUUUCUCAGAGCUGCAUUGCGAUCCGAGGUUCUGCCUCCAGAUCCUUCUUCCUCCUCCCUCUCCUUUCACAGGUGUCAGAGCUGCAGCAGGUUCUGACAUUUCUCUCU
ensembl:lncRNA